CAGAUAAAUUCAUGGCGAAAUAAUUUUUUACAAUAAUUACAUUAACUGUUCAAUUCAGUUUUGUCUGA
rnacentral:tRNA from 2 species